AUGAAGCGUAGAAACUGGGUUGGCAACCCUCGAUGUUCCUUUUGUGAUUGUAGAGAAACAUAUCUACAUUUGUUCUUUCGUUGCCCUGUGGCAAGGAUAACUUGGCGCACAGUUGGGGCACUGCUUGGUACAGAUUUAUGUCCCAAUAAUUUGUGUCAAUUUUACUCUUGGUGUUAUGCUUUCCUCCCUCAGAGGGAGCGAUGUUUCACAAUGGGCCUAGCGGCUGUUUGCUGGGCUAUUUGGAAUCAAAGAAACCAAGCUACUUUUGAAUUUAAAAACAUUUCAUCUCCUUUUGAGAUUGUUUUCACAGCCUGUGUGCAUUUAUCUUAUUGGGCAGGUCUCCUAAAAGGCGAAGGGGGAAUGGAGCUAGAGCGUGGCGCGAUGUUGCUCAGGGAGAAUGUCAAGGAGAUGAUGAGACUCUGUGAGACCGCGUAUGUUGGUAACACUAUGGAGUGA
rnacentral:rRNA from 1 species